rnacentral:rRNA from 1 species
AUUGAACGCUGGCGGUAGGCCUAACACAUGCAAGUCGAACGCGAAAGUCCUUCGGGAUGAGUAGAGUGGCGGACGGGUGAGUAACGCGUAGGAAUCUGUCCUGUAGUGGGGGAUAACGUUUCGAAAGGAACGCUAAUACCGCAUACGCCCUACGGGGGACAGCGGGGGAUCUUCGGACCUCGUGCUCUAGGGGGAGCCUGCGUCGGAUUAGCUAGUUGGGGAGGUAAAGGCUCACCAAGGCGACGAUCCGUAGCUGGUCGGAGAGGAUGAUCAGCCACACCGGAACUGAGACACGAUCCGGACUCCUACGGGAGGCAGCAGUGGGGAAUAUUGCGCAAUGGGCGAAAGCCUGACGCAGCCAUACCGCGUGUGUGAAGAAGGCCUUCGGGUUGUAAAGCACUUUCAGUGGGGAGAAAAAGCUGGUGGCUAAUAUCCAUCGGCCGUGACGCUACCCACAGAAGAAGCACCGGCUAAUUCCGUGCCAGCCGCCGCAGUAAAAC